rnacentral:rRNA from 1 species
UACAGGGGGGGCAAGCGUUGUUCGGAAUUACUGGGCGUAAAGGGUUCGUAGGUGGCCAACUAAGUCAGACGUGAAAUCCCUCAGCUUAACUGGGGAACUGCGUCUGAUACUGGAUGGCUUGAGUGUAGGAGAGGAAUGCGGAAUUCCAGGUGUAGCGGUGAAAUGCGUAGAUAUCUGGAGCAACACCGGUGGCGAAGGCGGCAUUCUGGACUACAACUGACACUGAGGAACGAAAGCCAGGGGAGCAAACGGG